UACUGGGCGUAAAGCGCAUGCAGGUGGUUUGUUAAGUCAGAUGUGAAAGCCCGGGGCUCAACCUCGGAAUUGCAUUUGAAACUGGCAGACUAGAGUACUGUAGAGGGGGGUAGAAUUUCAGGUGUAGCGGUGAAAUGCGUAGAGAUCUGAAGGAAUACCGGUGGCGAAGGCGGCCCCCUGGACAGAUACUGACACUCAGAUGCGAAAGCGUGGGGAGCAAACAGGAUUAGAUACCCUGGUAGUCCACGCCGUAAACGAUGUCUACUUGGAGGUUGUGGCCUUGAGCCGUGGCUUUCGGAGCUAACGCGUUAAGUAGACCGCCUGGGGAGUACGGUCGCAAGAUUAAAACUCAAAUGAAUUGACGGGGGCCCGCACAAGCGGUGGAGCAUGUGGUUUAAUUCGAUGCAACGCGAAGAACCUUACCUACUCUUGACAUCCAGAGAACUUUCCAGAGAUGGAUUGGUGCCUUCGGGAACUCUGAGACAGGUGCUGCAUGGCUGUCGUCAGCUCGUGUUGUGAAAUGUUGGGUUAAGUCCCGCAACGAG
rnacentral:rRNA from 1 species